GACGAACGCUGGCGGCGUGCUUAACACAUGCAAGUCGAACGGUAAGGCCCUUCGGGUACGACGAGUGGCGAACGGGUGAGUAACACGUGGUGAUCUGCCCUGCACUUCGGGAUAAGCCUGGGAAACUGGGUCUAAUACCGGAUAGGACCAUGGACUUCACGGUUUGUGGUGGAAAGCUUUUGCGGUGUGGGAUGGGCCCGCGGCCUAUCAGCUUGUUGGUGGGGUAAUGGCCUACCAAGGCGACGACGGGUAGCCGGCCUGAGAGGGUGUCCGGCCACACUGGGACUGAGAUACGGCCCAGACUCCUACGGGAGGCAGCAGUGGGGAAUAUUGCACAAUGGGCGCAAGCCUGAUGCAGCGACGCCGCGUGAGGGAUGACGGCCUCGGUGUAAC
rnacentral:rRNA from 1 species